GUUGAGCUAACCGGUACUAAUGAACCGUGAGGCUUAACCUUACAACGCCAAAG
rnacentral:rRNA from 2 species